UUUACCAUCAUUCUGCCCUGUC
rnacentral:miRNA from 1 species